rnacentral:rRNA from 1 species
GACGAACGCUGGCGGCGUGCUUAACACAUGCAAGUCGAACGGAAAGGCCCUGCUUUUGUGGGGUGCUCGAGUGGCGAACGGGUGAGUAACACGUGAGUAACCUGCCCUUGACUUUGGGAUAACUUCAGGAAACUGGGGCUAAUACCGGAUAGGAGCUCCUGCUGCAUGGUGGGGGUUGGAAAGUUUCGGCGGUUGGGGAUGGACUCGCGGCUUAUCAGCUUGUUGGUGGGGUAGUGGCUUACCAAGGCUUUGACGGGUAGCCGGCCUGAGAGGGUGACCGGCCACAUUGGGACUGAGAUACGGCCCAGACUCCUACGGGAGGCAACAGUGGGGAAUAUUGCACAAUGGGCGGAAGCCUGAUGCAGCAACGCCGCGUGCGGGAUGACGGCCUUCGGGUUGUAAACCGCUUUCGCCUGUGACGAAGCGUGAGUGACGGUAAUGGGUAAAGAAGCACCGGCUAACUACGUGCCAGCAGCCGCGGUGAUACGUAGGGUGCGAGCGUUGUCCGGAUUUAUUGGGCGUAAAGGGCUCGUAGGUGGUUGAUCGCGUCGGAAGUGUAAUCUUGGGGCUUAACCCUGAGCGUGCUUUCGAUACGGGUUGACUUGAGGAAGGUAGGGGAGAAUGGAAUUCCUGGUGGAGCGGUGGAAUGCGCAGAUAUCAGGAGGAACACCAGUGGCGAAGGCGGUUCUCUGGGCCUUUCCUGACGCUGAGGAGCGAAAGCGUGGGGAGCGAACAGGCUUAGAUACCCUGGUAGUCCACGCUGUAAACGGUGGGUACUAGGUGUGGGGUCCAUUCCACGGGUUCCGUGCCGUAGCUAACGCUUUAAGUACCCCGCCUGGGGAGUACGGCCGCAAGGCUAAAACUCAAAGGAAUUGACGGGGCCCCGCACAAGCGGCGGAGCAUGCGGAUUAAUUCGAUGCAACGCGUAGAACCUUACCUGGGUUUGACAUGGAUCGGGAGUGCUCAGAGAUGGGUGUGCCUCUUUUGGGGUCGGUUCACAGGUGGUGCAUGCCUGUCGUCAGCUCGUGUCGUGAGAUGUUGGGUUAAGUCCCGCAACGAGCGCAACCCUUGUUCACUGUUGCCAGCACGUUAUGGUGGGGACUCAGUGGAGACCGCCGGGGUCAACUCGGAGGAAGGUGGGGAUGACGUCAAGUCAUCAUGCCCCUUAUGUCCAGGGCUUCACGCAUGCUACAAUGGCUGGUACAGAGAGUGGCGAGCCUGUGAGGGUGAGCGAAUCUCGGAAAGCCGGUCUCAGUUCGGAUUGGGGUCUGCAACUCGACCUCAUGAAGUCGGAGUCGCUAGUAAUCGCAGAUCAGCAACGCUGCGGUGAAUACGUUCCCGGG